GCUUUUAAAGCUUUGGAGAAGCAUUGAAUUUUUGAUUCGAGGAGAUUAUUAUUAUAAUUAAAAGCG
rnacentral:tRNA from 2 species